GACGAACGCUGGCGGCGCGCUUAACACAUGCAAGUCGAACGGAAAGGCCUGCUUUCCCUUGUGGAUUGCGGGUACUCGAGUGGCGAACGGGUGAGUAACACGUGAGUGAUCUGCCCCCAACUUGGGUAUAAGCCUGGGAAACUGGGUCUAAUUCCCGAUAGGACUGCAGGGUGGUGCCUGUGGUGGAAAACGAUUUUCUAGUGGUUGGGGAUGAGCUCGCGGCCUAUCAGCUUGUUGGUGGGGUAAUGGCCUACCAAGGCGGCGACGGGUAGCCGGCCUGAGAGGGGGGACGGCCACAUUGGGACGAAGAUACGGCCCAGACUCCUACGGGAGGCAGCAGUGGGGAAUAUUGCACAAUGGGCGGAAGCCUGAUGCAGCGACGCCGCGUGGGGGAUGACGGCCUUCGGGUUGUAAACUCCUUUCGACCGCGAGGAAGCCACCUGGUUGGAAGGGUGGUGACGGUAGUGGUAGAAGAAGCACCGGCUAACUACGU
rnacentral:rRNA from 1 species